UACGUAGGGGGCAAGCGUUGUCCGGAAUCAUUGGGCGUAAAGAGCGUGUAGGCGGCCCGAUAAGUCCGCUGUGAAAGUCCAGGGCUCAACCCUGGAAUGCCGGUGGAUACUGUCGGGCUCGAAUCCGGAAGAGGUGAGUGGAAUUCCUGGUGUAGCGGUGAAAUGCGCAGAUAUCAGGAGGAACACCGAUGGCGAAGGCAGGUCACUGGGCCGCAACUGACGCUGAGGAGCGAAAGCAUGGGGAGCGAACAGG
rnacentral:rRNA from 1 species